UACGUAGGGUGCAACCGUUGUUCGGAUUCAUUGGGCGUAAAGGGUGCGUAGGCGGUCUGGCAAGUCGGAUGUGAAAUCUCAGGGCUCAACCCUGAAACUGCAUUCGAUACUGCUAGGCUUGAGUAUGGGAGAGGGAUGUAGAAUUCCAGGUGUAGCGGUGAAAUGCGUAGAUAUCUGGAGGAAUACCGGUGGCGAAGGCGGCUCACUGGCCCGGUACUGACGCUGAGGUGCGAAAGCGUGGGGAGCAAACAGG
rnacentral:rRNA from 1 species